rnacentral:rRNA from 1 species
UUCCUUGAGGAGUGGCUUCCGGAGCUAACGCGUUAAGUCGACCGCCUGGGGAGUACGGCCGCAAGGUUAAAACUCAAAUGAAUUGACGGGGGCCCGCACAAGCGGUGGAGCAUGUGGUUUAAUUCGAUGCAACGCGAAGAACCUUACCUACUCUUGACAUCCAGAGAACUUAGCAGAGAUGCUUUGGUGCCUUCGGGAACUCUGAGACAGGUGCUGCAUGGCUGUCGUCAGCUCGUGUUGUGAAAUGUUGGGUUAAGUCCCGCAACGAGCGCAACCCUUAUCCUUUGUUGCCAGCGGUUCGGCCGGGAACUCAAAGGAGACUGCCAGUGAUAAACUGGAGGAAGGUGGGGAUGACGUCAAGUCAUCAUGGCCCUUACGAGUAGGGCUACACACGUGCUACAAUGGCGCAUACAAAGAGAAGCGACCUCGCGAGAGCAAGCGGACCUCAUAAAGUGCGUCGUAGUCCGGAUCGGAGUCUGCAACUCGACUCCGUGAAGUCGGAAUCGCUAGUAAUCGUAGAUCAGAAUGCUACGGUGAAUACGUUCCCGGGCCUUGCACCACCGCCCCGUCAAAA